UACGGGGGGAGCAAGCGUUGUUCGGAUUUACUGGGCGUAAAGGGCGCGUAGGCGGCGUGACAAGUCACUUGUGAAAUCUCCGGGCUUAACUCCGGAACGGUCAAGUGAUACUGUCGUGCUAGAGUACAGAAGGGGCAACUGGAAUUCUCGGUGUAGCGGUGAAAUGCGUAGAUAUCAAGAGGAACACCUGAGGUGAAGACGGGUUGCUGGGCUGACACUGACGCUGAGGCGCGAAAGCCAGGGGAGCAAACGGG
rnacentral:rRNA from 1 species